ACCAGAGAAGGGACUUCAUUUACCGUCAGGUCGCAGGACUGAGAACUUCCAUUCAACAGCUGCCAGUGACGUCUAAGCCGCCCUCCUACGCCGGGGCUACGGAACCAAUGAGGCUGAGGUGGAGGAGAGCCAAGAAGAGGGACUGGAAUUUAUAAUCAAACCUGAAGCGAGUGGAGCCAAGUAGAGAUAUGAGUUCAUGCUUCCUGACCAUAAAUAUAAAUUCAAGGGUAUUUUAUGGCACUUUACAGUUUGGAAAAAGCUUUCAUGGAACUACUGAUCAUUUAUCAUUCUACCACCUGCCUCCUCUUAUCACAUUUUCACAAUCUAGAGUGUGA
rnacentral:lncRNA from 1 species